UACAGAGGUCUCAAGCGUUGUUCGGAUUCAUUGGGCGUAAAGGGUGCGUAGGCGGCGCGGUAAGUCGGAUGUGAAAUCUCGGAGCUUAACUUCGAAACUGCAUUCGAUACUGCCGUGCUUGAGGACUGGAGAGGAGACUGGAAUUUACGGUGUAGCGGUGAAAUGCGUAGAUAUCGGGAGGAACACCAGUGGCGAAGGCGGUUGCCUGGGGCUUUGCUGACGCUGAUGCGCGAAAGCGUGGGGAGCGAUCCGG
rnacentral:rRNA from 1 species